GGAAAACCAAGCCCAUAUUCAGGAAAUGGUCACAGAGCAUAGUGUUCUUGGGCAAAAGUUCAAUGAAGCCUCAGCUCUGGCAUCUAAACAGAAAGAACACAUUGAUGAAGUAACUACUGAACUUGGAGAAGUUAGGGAAUCAAAAAUUAAUCUUGAAACUGAAUUGAGAAACACUGAGACCAAGCUCCUUGAGGCCAUCAC